GCUAACGUAGCUUAAUUAAAGCAUAACACUGAAGAUGUUAAGAUGAACUAUAAAAGGUCCCGUAAGCA
rnacentral:tRNA from 1 species